AGCUCCCUUCUCUUCCACCGAGGCUCAAUUUUGAUUUAUCAUUUUUUUCAUUCUUAUUUUCAUUGUCUGUCCCGUCGCAAGUGUGGAGGUGAAGUAUUUUUUUGGAUAAUUAAAAAAAGCAAAAAAAGCAAAUAAGAUUAUUGCACCGUUCGUUCCUGUCAAGCAUCAAGAUCAAGGUCAUUGUUGGAGAUGAGACAGUGGUCACCAGAGUACAAACAGUUUCAGUGGGUCGUGCACCUAGCGGAUCCAGAAGGCAGAAAUGGUGCCCACCUCGGUAUCUGUUCUCACCUACAGUAUGUUACCGAAUAAAGAGAGGUUUCUCUG